GACGAACGCUGGCGGCGUGCUUAACACAUGCAAGUCGAACGGUAAGGCUCCAGCUUGCUGGGGUACACGAGUGGCGAACGGGGGAGUAACACGUGGGUGACCUGCCCUGCACUUCGGGAUAAGCCUGGGAAACUGGGUCUAAUACCGGAUAGGACCGCACCGUGAGGGUGUGGUGGAAAUGGUUUUCGGUGUGGGAUGGGCCGGCGGCCUAUCAGCUUGUUGUUGGGGUACUGGCCUACCAAGGCGGCGACGGGUAGCCGGCCUGAGAGGGUGGACGGCCACACUGGGACUGAGACGCGGCCCAGACUCCUCCGGGAGGCAGAAGUGGGGAAGAUUGCACUAUGGGCGGAAGCCUGAUGCAGCGACGCCGCGUGGGGGAUGACGGCCUGCGGGUUGUAAACUCCUUUCACCUUCGACGAAGGGUUUCUGACGGUAGAUGGAGAAGAAGCACCGGCUAACUACGUG
rnacentral:rRNA from 1 species